CCGUGACAUGCAGCUUCGUGCAAUGGUGUAUCACCAUCAUUGUCCACCGCGUUCACACUGGCACCAUGGUUAAGCAACAGUUGAAAAUUAUCACUAUGACCACAACGUGCAGCUACGUGCAAUGGUGUAUCACCCUUCUUGUUCACCGCGUUCACACUGGCAACAUGGUUAAGCAACAGUUGUAAGAUAUCAACAUGAUCCCGAGAUGCAGCGUCGUGCAAUGGUGUAUCACCAUCACUGUUCACCGUGUUCACACUGGCACCAUGGUUAAGCAACAGUUGCAAAUUAUCACUAUGACCCCAACGUGCAGCUAUGUGCAAUGGUGUAUCACCCUUC